UACGAAGGGUGCGAGCGUUAAUCGGAAUUACUGGGCGUAAAGGGCUCGUAGGCGGCCAACUAAGUCAUACGUGAAAUCCCUCAGCUUAACUGGGGAACUGCGUGUGAUACUGGAUGGCUUGGAUUUGGGAGAGGGAUGCGGAAUUCCAGGUGUAGCGGUGAAAUGCGUAGAUAUCUGGAGGAACACCGGUGGCGAAGGCGGCAUCCUGGACCAAUAUUGACGCUGAGGAGCGAAAGCCAGGGGAGCAAACGGG
rnacentral:rRNA from 1 species